rnacentral:lncRNA from 1 species
GACGUCAAAGCUUCAUAUAUACUCCCUCCCCUUCACUCUAUGGAUAAAUUAAUGCAACUGUUUGGUUUCAGCGAAAGGGCGAUACCACAAGUGGAAGUCUGUGAUUGCUGCAAAAAGGUUCAACUACCACGAUCCCUGCAUCAACAAGUUACAAAAGGCAAGCAACAAGUCAACUUUUUUUGUGUAGGUAGGGCAAGAGAAAUCGAAAUUUGAGGUCACAAAAGAACACCUUAAAACUUUUUUAUGAGUGUAUGUUUUCUUUUCUUUUCCCUUUUGGAUAUUAUGUAGAAUUACCACUUCAGAAUAAUAAGGGAUUAUUUCUGUUUUAUUCGAUCCGUCUUCAAAUCAAGAUGUUAUUAAUUCAAUCAAAAUAUAAGUUUUUUUUUUGGUUUCAAGAUUAAUCUCACUCAACUCUACGUCAAUUUUUAUUUUUCCUGUGAUCAAUCAUACGAAAGCGAUAUUCGAUCAUAAAGUUUUUUCCUCACCCAGAGACAGAAAUUGGUGAACUAGGAGGUGCAUAGAUAUUAUCGUAGUAUAUGCAAUGUUGUCUUCCUUAAGAUACCGACUUCAUAUUGUAUUUUGUCCAGCAGUUCAUAACAAUGAGUUAUGAGAUUUGUAAGUUAUUUUGGAUAUGGAAACUUGCUAAAGGGCAUAGAUUUGAAUUUCAAGGUCUUACAAAACUGAAAACCUCCCCUUUGUAGCUAUGCCAAGUAACAGUCGUUGGACAUUGAGAAUGUUAACACUAAUUUGUAUUAUCAAAUACCAAGAACAUAAUCUCUCAUAACAACCAACUACCUAGAUCAACAAGAGUGGUACUCUUUUUCCAGCCAAAGCUACAGAUCUCGAAUUGCAUCAGACCGUGAGUCUACUACCUCUUUGCUUCCUAGCUAGGUAUUUCCUCCUCUUUUAUCUUCUACAAUGCAUAUGUGGGACAAAACAGAAUUGUGAAACAUGAUGUUGGGACAGAAGCAACUUACAAGGUUAGUUCCGUAUCUUAAAAUGGUUGCUCAACCAUCCAUUCCAUAUCUGACGUGUCAUUCACCAUUAAUCUUUGCCUGCAUCCUCCACAUUUUUCUUGCGAGCCUCAACAGCAGCAUCUGCCUCCGGUGACUGGAGUUUCAGUUUUUCAAAAUCCUUCACGAAAUAAAAUGGAUAACACUUCAAAUAGCGUUUUGUCAACCUUAUUUCUCACCCUGCAGUCCUUAUAUAAAGGAUGCACUUCCAUAUGUGUAAGGUACAAGCUAAUUAAAAGAUGGCAUCAUAAUUUAAAUGCUUGUUUAUAUAUUAUAAUAAUAUCUGCUUACUGGGUUAGGAUUUCCCUAUCGAGAAAGAUAACCGACAGUAUUUGCUCUAUAGCUACUUGAUUCUUUAGUCCAUCAAACCAUGUAGAACAGUGCAAGGACUGAGUAACGUUAACAGCUUUUCCCUCAAAACUUAUGUUGUUCACAAUAUAAUUGAAAAAUACAUUGGUGGAUUCCUAGCAGAAGCAAAGAAAAAAAAUUCACCAGGAAAAUUUUUCUCAUCUUACUUGAGCCUUGGAGGCAAGAGUUACUUGGUACAUGUGUUGGUGGAAUAAUAUAGGUGUGUACAAGCUGGCCAGACACCAUCUCAUUAAAAAGAAAAACACUGUGAAGGUACCAGACAAUGGUAACAUAAUAUACUAACCAGUUCAGAUACAUAUCCACUGGUCCUUUCACCUUGAGGCCCAUAAUUUUGAGCUUCACUUUAGCUCACUCUUUUGAUCCUUUGGUUUUUCAUUUGUAUCUGGAUGCUCUGCAAAUUUGAUUACUAUGACAUUGACUAAAGAAAAUCUGAACAAAAUACUUGCAUGACACAAUUACUCCGGUACAAAUAGACAAUUACAACUUGAAAGAGAGGGACAUAAACUAAGAGUGAAGAACAUUACCAGCAGCUAUCACCAGUGAGGACUCAUGAAGCAGUUCUUGGUCCAGUUGUUUGGACCUAAUGCACUGCAGUUGACAGCAAC